rnacentral:rRNA from 1 species
UACGCGGGGGGCAAGCGUUGUUCGGAAUUAUUGGGCGUAAAGGGUGCGUAGGCGGUUUGGUAAGUCUGAUGUGAAAUCUAUGGGCUCAACUCAUAGUCUGCAUCGGAAACUGCCGGGCUUGAGUGUGGGAGAGGUGAGUGGAAUUCCUGGUGUAGCGGUGAAAUGCGUAGAUAUCAGGAGGAACACCUGUGGCGAAAGCGGCUCACUGGACCAUAACUGACGCUGAUGCGCGAAAGCGUGGGGAGCAAACAGG